GCGCCUGGAGCGAGCGGGGAGCACAGAGCCCGGCUCAGCCAGGCGCGCAGCGACAACGCCAGCCACGGUCCGCAGACCGAGAGUGGACAGCGGGGACGGCGGGGACGGCGGCGCCAGCGCGAGUCCAGUGGCCCGGUUAGGGCCAGCUGCAGACCAGAAACUACUCUCUUGGGACCAUUCAGAAGCCAGAGACACCAACACCGUGACAUAUGCCGGUGCCACCGCCGCCACCACCUCCUCCUCUGCCGCCACCUCCUCCACCUGUGGGGGCUCCUCCCCCUCCACCCCCACCAGGGCCCCCGGUAAGGCCUGUCUGAUUUCCCUGUGUUUCUCUGUGGAGCUCCUGCCUUUGAGUGAUCUUGAACAGGAGCUUGGUGCUGGGAUGCAGGUGAUGCAGGCCCCCAGGUGGCAAGCGCACCCUAGGAUUCUGACUCUGGCUGUGUUGGGGUCUAAUCAGUCUGGACUAAAUGAUUCUCUCCCCACACACCCCAUUUUCACUUUACUUCAGUCUCCAUGCUUUUCCCCCUCAGACCCCACCCACCACAAGCUGCAGGCUUUCCCAGUCUCCCUAAGUGACUUUCCAUCUCACUGGACACUGGUGAAGGCCUCCUGCUGAAGUCAGGCCCAUAAGACACCGAGAAGUCAAGUUGUAUGUGCGGUGUCAUGCAGAAGGUGGGGAUGAUACCCUGGCUUCCGUCCCCCGCCCCCCUCCAUUCUAAGUCCAGCAAGUUACAUGUUGGGUUGAAAGCUCCAGGGAAAUGGGACUCACCCACAGAAGUUUCCUGUGUCUGAAGCAAUGAAGCUAGUCUACUUCUAUCCAGGCCAUAUACUUUCAGUUUAAUCAUUUGAUUUAUGUUAGAAGAGGGCCACAGGGAGGGGCUGUUCUGUUCUGGAACAGAAAUUCAACCUCAGCACCACUGACACUGAGACAGACUAACUGGGGUAGGGAGUUGCUCGGCUGUAUAUUUUAGGAUGCUGUUUAACAAGAUCCUCAGCCUCUGCCUAUGCAAUGCCGGUAACACCCCUCAAGUGUGUAAAAAAAUAUCCUCAGAUACUGCCUGGUGGAGGAAAAAUAUAGACAGAAUAGAAAUAAGUAUUGAAGUUUCACUGCUGAACUUGAC
rnacentral:lncRNA from 1 species